UAUGUGAUCGUCUCUCGCAUAUCAAUAAGCGGAGGAAAAGAAACUAACAAGGAUUCCCCUAGUAACGGCGAGUGAAGCGGGAAGAGCUCAAAUUUGAAAUCUUAAAGGGUUUCCCUUUACGAAUUGUAGUUUAAAGAAGUGUUUUCUGUUGAGGUUUUGGUAAAAGUUCUUUGGAAUAGGACAUCAUAGAGGGUGAGAAUCCCGUAUUUGACCUUUACUUUCAACUUUGUGAUACACUUUCAAAGAGUCGGAUUGUUUGGGAAUGCAGUCCAUAAUGGGUGGUAAAUUUCAUCUAAAGCUAAAUAUUGGCGAGAGACCGAUAGCGAACAAGUACCGUGAGGGAAAGAUGAAAAGAACUUUGAAAAGAGAGUUAAACAGUACGUGAAAUUGUCAAAAGGGAAGCGUUUGACACCAGUGUUGUUUUUCUGAAAAUCAAUUAAAGAACUGUUUAUGCUAAGCUGUUUAGACUUUAUCAGCUAUCUGUUUAGCUUUGAGCUUUUCUUUAAUGCACUUUUCAGUUAACAAGUCAACAUCAAUUUCUUUUGCUGUAAAAAAGCUUGAGGAAGGUGGCUUGAGAUUCGUCUUAAGUGUUUAUAGCCUCUUGCCUAUGCAGUCGGAGAGAUUGAGGUCUGCAGCGUAGAUCCUUCGGGGCUAAAUGCAUUUGUGCUAAGUUAUAGCAUUUUAUAGACAACUUGUUGACUAUGAUUUGUCUUGUAGCUUACUCGCUUAUGUUAUUUUACCUACGCUUAGGAUGUUGAACGCGCACAGAGUCUC
rnacentral:rRNA from 1 species